rnacentral:misc_RNA from 1 species
UUUCCGUAGGUGAACCUGCGGAAGGAUCAUUAACAAGUCUGCCGUCCCGUCGAUGAUACACAUCGCAGGGGCGACAUUUGUCCCGUGUGCACGUUCGCUCUGCACACGACAUUUCUGCGAAUCCUCUGACACGUCAAUGCAACAAAUGAAACAACUUUUAACAAUGGAUCUCUAGGCUCCU